CCGGCGCGUGGUGAAGGUAGCGCACAAUGCCCUAGUCGAUCUAAAAAAGCGCCCUAGUCCCCUUUUUCAAUCGUCGUGGAUGCCCACCGCCGACACCAAACUUCAGUCCGCAAUCGUGGGAGAGCCAUCGCCGCCGAUGCCACGACGCACGGUGAUGUAGGAGGACCACGCCGGUUUACUCGUCAUCCUGCUUUGAUGGAAAAAUAGUCACCAUGAGUAGGAUUUUCUUUUGGCAUUCAAACUUAGGAAUUAUGUGGAAAAUUAGGACCAUGGAAUGAUGUCUACUGAAGCGGGAUUAACCACUGAAGUGAUGCCGCAAAAGCUUUAUCUCAAAGGCAUUCCGGUGGUUCCUAACCUGUAGAAGAUUUGGACUUUUAUCUCGAGAAUCAAAGUUCACAGAAUAUAUUGCUUUUGGAUCUGCAGAUGAUAUCAAGGCUUAGAAGAUGGUUCUAAUGCUUCAUCAACGAACAAAAAUCUUAUGAAGGAGGACAUAUAUACGGAGAUUUGGAUGUGAUGAUCAUUGUUGAGGAAAUCGUUAACUGGUAGCUGCUCGGUUGGCUGGCAGUAGGGGAUUAAUAGUCUAAUCGGCAAGUUAA